rnacentral:rRNA from 1 species
AUGUGUCAAUCUAAUCAAGCAAGAAUUAAGAAGGAAAUCCCUUCCCUCUUGCCCGGUCGUGGGCAAAAAGACCCCCGGCCGGCCCUCUCGCGCCCUCCUUCUAGCAGCGCCGUCCUCACCUGGGAGGAGGUGUCCGGGGUGCUGCGGGACCUAACCCAGGAGGUCCAGGAGAUCCACCUGUUCUUGGCCGGGUCCUACGGGCCGCACCAGGCGGCCUUCGCCGCGCUCGCCUGGCCGCUGCAGCUACCAUCCAUCGCCACCCCCGCCCAGCCCUGGCUGCAGUGGCAGCCGCCGCUCCUGGCAGCCUCCGCCGUGUCUGGCGCGGCACCGCAGGAGCCGCUGCAGCUGCAGCAGCCACCGCCGGUCAGCUCCGCCGUCCAGUAUGGGAUGCCCUACGACGGGAGUGCGACGACCUCGUUCCCAUCAGCGCCGCCGCCAUCUCAAGGUGUCCACAUCUAG